rnacentral:rRNA from 1 species
UAGUUUGAUCCUGGCUCAGAUUGAACGCUGGCGGCAUGCUUUACACAUGCAAGUCGAACGGUAACAGGUCUUCGGAUGCUGACGAGUGGCGAACGGGUGAGUAAUACAUCGGAACGUGCCUAGUAGUGGGGGAUAACUACUUGAAAGAGUAGCUAAUACCGCAUGAGAUCUACGGAUGAAAGCAGGGGACCUUCGGGCCUUGUGCUACUACCGCGGCUGCUGGCACAUUAGGUACCUGGUCGGAUUCAGGCUUACCCAGCCUGACCCCUGUAGCUGGUCCCCGAGCUCUUCCAGCCACACAAAAACAGAUUACAACCCCAGACCUUCAUCCUGCACGCCAGUGGGCUAUUUCAGGCAUCGCGCAAUCGCCUGAUAAUUCCAAUGCGACGUCGGGUGCCUAGGAGGAAGAGCCCUCGGGUUGUAAACUUCUUCUGUACGGACACGAAAACCUCUGGGGCUAAUAUCCACGGGUCAUGACGGUACCGUAAGAAUAAGCACCGGCUAAACUACGUGCCCAGCAGCCGCGGUAAAUACGUAGGGGUGCAAGCGUUAAUCGGAAUUACUGGGCGUAAAGCGUGCGCAGGCGGUUUUGUAAGACAGUGGUGAAAUCCCCGGGCUCAACCUGGGAACUGCCAUUGUGACUGCAAGGUUAGAGUGCGGCAGGGGGGGAUGGAAUUCCGCGUGUAGCAGUGGGAUUCGUAGAUAUGCGGAGGAACACCGAUGGCGAAGGCAAUCCCCUGGGCCCUGCACUGACGCCUCAUGCACGAAAACGUGGGGAAUCAAACAAGGAUUUAGAUACCCUGGUUAGUUCCACGCCCUAAACGGAUGUCAAACUGGUUUGUUGGGUUCUUAACUAACUCAGUAACGAAAGCUAACGCGUGAAGUUGACCGCCCUGGGGAGUACGGCCGCAAAGGUUGAAACUCAAAGGAAUUGACGGGGACCCGCACAAGCGGUGGAUGAUGUGGUUUAAUUUCGAUGCAACGCGAAAAAACCUUACCCACCUUUGACAUGGCAGGAACUUACCAGAGAUGGUUUGGUGCUCGAAAGAGAACCUGCACACAGGUGCUGCAUGGCUGUCGUCAGCUCGUGUCGUGAGAUGUUGGGUUAAGUCCCGCAACGAGCGCAACCCUUGCCAUUAGUUGCUACAUUCAGUUGAGCACUCUAAUGGGACUGCCGGUGACAAACCGGAGGAAGGUGGGGAUGACGUCAAGUCCUCAUGGCCCUUAUAGGUGGGGCUACACACGUCAUACAAUGGCUGGUACAAAGGGUUGCCAACCCGCGAGGGGGAGCUAAUCCCAUAAAGCCAGUCGUAGUCCGGAUCGCAGUCUGCAACUCGACUGCGUGAAGUCGGAAUCGCUAGUAAUCGUGGAUCAGAAUGUCACGGUGAAUACGUUCCCGGGUCUUGUACACACCGCCCGUCACACCAUGGGAGCGGGUCUCGCCAGAAGUAGGUAGCCUAACCGCAAGGAGGGCGCUACCA